AGAAUAAUCACAUGGGGGACAAUUUGGGGUUCAUUCUGAACUGCCUGCCUCAAUAUCUCUCUGCAUCCCAACCUGCCAGCAUUACCGCUCUGCAAGAACCCUUAGUGUUGUUCAUCCCCUUCCCACCCUCCAAACCUGAGCCAAGACUGCAGCCAGACCUGGAGCUGCCAGGUGAGUGCCUCUUGGUGGCUGGUGCUGUUCCAACAGAUGCACUUAGAAGCUACAUGACUUCCAAGGAAGGCAGGGUCAGAGGGACUCAGAGCCUUCUAGAAUGAAGCCCGGUAGAGCCCCUCCAGGCAGAGGCAGGUGCUGGGUGUCUGGCAGGGCUGAACUUCCAGCCUUGGGCCUGGGCCUCUCUGCCAUGCUCCUGGAGCGUGCAGCACAGCUGUGGCCCCUUCCUGGGGCAGCUUAUCUCAAAGCGCACACUCUUGGCCCUCAAGAGGUGACCCAGCCUUGCUCCCCACAUUCCUCUCCAGUUCUGCAGCCAGUGGGCCCCCCACAGCUCUGAGACUGGGCCUGAGCUUGGGAGGUAGUCAGAGCUGCCACUGGGCCCAAGCCCACUGCAGUACCUUGGCUUUCUCUGAUUCUCUAUCUUGAUGAAUCUGUUUAUUCCCUAUCUUUCUCUUGGAGUGCCCCAAUUUGUUUUUGUUACUUUCAAUAUUCUAAUAUAUUUUUCUUUGCUUUUUUUUUCCAGGGUCCCUGAAUUAGUCCAAAUCUCAGAGACAUCUCUGCUCUUCUGACUUGAUGACCAACCUCAGUGGGAAAGUACAUGAAAAGUCAGACUGGUGAGAGGACCAAAGGGCCUAGGAAAGGAGAAGCCUGUCCUGGGAACAGUGGAGUAACUGGAACAUUUAGGCUCCCCUCACCCAUCUAGGAAGCCAUCCCCAGUAGAUACAUGAAGCAGGAUUUUGUGGGCUUUUCCAUGUAGUGGAGGAGGCUUGGGGGCGGGGCAUGGGGAAGAGGAGGAAACUGGAACUGGAGGUCUUAGCCUAAGGACCUCCUUCCUGUUUGUAGGGAAGUGACUGCCUCAGAAAACUGCUGGGGGUGGGAGGGAAGGAGGGAGGCCAUGGUGACUUCCUGGGAAGCUGACGAAGGCCCACCUUCCCUGUGCCCACAUGGGGCUCUCCAGUCCUGGCUUAAAAUAGCACACCUCUGCCACUGAUGCUGGACCCAGCCUGGACCUCAAAGUGUUGCAACCAUGGUUUGUUCUGCUAGUAGGAGCUGUGGGUUUGUGCGAGGGUCUACCCAGCUAUCUAGUUCAAAUCAGACUGAGGCCUGAGGCCACAGGGACUAACCCCCCACCCCCCUAUGGAUCCCAGACCUGAUGCUUUGGAUGCAAGUUUCAGCUCUUGCAUUGAUCUGCUUUGAGACUUUGGUCUGGUGCCUGCCUGGCUCUCAACCAAACUGAGACAGCGGCAUGGCACAGCGCUUUGCCAGUCAUAAAGUAGAUGCACAGAACCAGACUCCUGUUGUUCCGUACGGCACUCUGCUCUACCUACCUGCUCUAAGGACUGGAUGUAGAGCAGGGAAGGCUUGUGGAGAGGGAGCUUGCAAGGAGGGCAAGGAUGGGGCUGUGGUCUCCAUGGUGAGACUUGUUGCCAAGGGAACAAAGUCUCCAGGAACCCUGGGUCUGGCAGUUGGGCACUUUUGCCACAGGAGCUGGCAGGCUAAUUGUCAUUGCACCCAAACUCCUGAUGGGCCAUCAGGCCAAGGCCAGGACGGGCAGAGAGGAGGCUCUGGGCUUUGUUUGGUCUCUGCUGAUGGGGUGGAGGGGCUGCAGCUUCAGCACACAGCCUUCAUGUAUGGCUGGACUUCAGUGAGGCCUGUUAGAGCCAUUGCCAUUCCUAAACCCCCGAGUUACAGGUACCAUCCUCUACUGAUGCCGGUGGGCCAGGGGGGACCGGGGAGGCAUCUAUCUGGGUCAAUGUCAAACUCUACCGUGGAGGAGAUGCACUGAGGCCCCUUGUUGAUGUUCCUACUGGCGCACAGGUUGGAAAGGACUUCCUGCAGCCAGAUCAUCCAAUUCCAGCAGCCUCAUCAUUUCUGGAUGUUUCUGGCUCUGCUGUUGGAACCUGGAGCACUAGAUUUCACUGCGGGCUACACAGAGAUAUCUUUGUUCUUCUCCAGCCUGACUGUCACGACACACCCCAGGAAGCUCAAAGCUCACCAUUACUUAAGAAGCAACUUUGAUAUUUGGGAGAGCACUCCCCUAAUUUUUACCCCAUGGAAUGCUGACUCAACAGGACUUUUACAGAAGACAAAAGUAAAUCCGACAAACAGGUAGUUUUGGUGCAUCCUGGCUGGGCCAACUGGGGUAUUUCUUCAGGUAGGACUUCCCACAGCCUUGGCUAUAUGCAAAGGAGGUUUGGGAAUUUGGGGAUAGUGUGGUAAUUCCUCAGUUUCUGGCACACACUUCACAAAACUUUCUUUUUUGACAAAGCCUUCAUGAGUGACUCUGUUCAGAGAAAUCAUAUAGGUUGGGGUCUUGGGACAUCAUUACUUUUCAGCCUGACUUGGUUGAGCCUUAGAUAUACUUUACGGGAUUAAUUGGUUGGCUUGUUUUCGAAUAGCGAAAGGUUCAACCAAAGGCCGUUUGUUCCUCAGCUUUGUUACAAACUCCAUUUGUGCACAGAACUGCUGCUGAAAGAACAGGGAGGAAGCUGUUGUAACUUUGGAAUCAGAUAGACCUGAAUUCAAAAGUUAAUUCUCCAGCUUGCUCAUGUGUCAUUUCAGGCAAGUGGUUAAACUUCCCUCAGCCUGUCUGCUUCCGAGCAAAAGGGAUGACAGGGCAUGAUGCAGGUGGCUAUAGGGUGUGACUGUCGCUAGGCAGCCGGGGUACUCUCUUCUUGUGCCUGUUUCUGUCUGCUCCCUCUUGUGAGGCUGUGAAGACAGCCUAUUACCUCCUGCUGCUGUGGGCCCUUUGUUUCAAAUCACCUCUUUCAAGCCUCAAGGGCUCUUUGGUACCUUGUGCUGGGCAUGGAGCACAGAAGGCAGCUGGGUGCUCCUGUUUCAUGCAGGACAAUUUAAUAGACUGAUGAGACUCUUCCGGCCUUUAUCUUGCCAUCGAGGACCCUCCCUCUGUCUUCACAGCCCUCACCCUGCCUGAGUGUGUGAGCAGGACAAGAUGGCUGGGUUUUGCAGCUGGGUGGAUCUGGGUUCAAGACACUUCCUGUGUUGCCUCUUCCAUGUCCCUUGGCUUUUUAGUCACUAUUUGUUCACAUCCUACAGAGGUUAUAGAGAACCUUAAUAGUUUUCCGCUAGACCUCUUACCGAGCAGGUAAGGCAGGCUACCCCUGCCUGGCACACUGCUGUCCCUGACACAGCUGAGACAAACUCCGAACUCCUUCCAGCACUGCUCCAGGCCCCCAUGGUGUCCCCAAACCCAGUUCCUUCCUCAUGUUCUUUUGUUUCAUAGGAUUUUAGAAAGUGCCCUCGUGGAUAGUUCUCAGCUUGGACACUUUCUCAUCAGGGAAGCCCCUCCUUGCUACCCAUAUCCAUCCCAAGUCCCAAUACUCUCCUCACAGUACUUCUAAGGUCUGUGUAUCUCUGACCAGGGUAUCUGCUAGUUGUGCCUUUUUUUGGCUGGGAACCUUGUGCAAGCCUUUUCACCAUUCUCAACUUUGGUUUCUUCAUUUACAAAAAGAGGCAAUAGUCCUCAAAACUUAUGGUGGUCUGGGUUUAGAAAAUCAGCACAGUGCCUGGCAGGCUGCAGGCACUCGCUGGUUCCUGAGGUUCAGGAGCCGACCAUUUUCUGCCAAGCCCUCAGCAACAGCGAUGGGGGUGGUGUUGGCUAUGAGCAGGAGUUCAUGCCUCAGGACAGCAGGCCCUCCCUCCCCCGAGCCCCAGAUAAGCUUCACAGACAGAUGGCAUGUGCAGAGGAUUCACAUUUAUUGGUUCAAAUACAGUACCUAACACUUGCUAAACAUGCAUUUCAUACUAAUUGGUCACAUUUCCACAGGUAGUCAAUUCACAGAACAGGGCCCACUUCUUGCCAGCAGGCAAGUGUGGGAGGUAGCAGAGGGCCUGAGCAGCCUGCAGAGCCCGCCAACUAUCAUUUGGUCAUGCAGGGUUGAUGGAGCCAGGCUGGCAGGCAGCCCUUGGCCGGCCCUUUGGGAACAAGGGCUCAGAGACAUCCAUUCAUUCGAUUCCUACACAGAACUGUGGGAGGACUGGGAGGUAGCCUGAGGUAGGUUCACGACGCACUCACUUGCCAUCAGAGUCCCUGAAAUCCAAGCUAUGGAGCAUAGGAAGGGGGGUACAGGCCUCGUCUAGCAGCCAUGGCCUGUCCCUAGCUGGGCAGGUGGAAAGGACUCCCCAGACACUGCCCAGACAUUACAAUACAGCCACAAGCUCCUAUCACAGGCCUGGGAUGGCAGCACAGACAAAAACACAACAGUCCAGGGUUUUGUUCCCGACAGAAACAUGUAAACAGCACGGGAGCUACAGCAGUCUUUUCCCACAGGACUCCUCAAGAGAGGAAUCAACCAGGAUGUCACUCAAGAGGUAGUCUUUUUCCCCCCCAUGGAAACUUGAUAAAAAACAUUAUCAUCUAUUAUAUUUCGGCUAAGAAAAAGGUCAGCAAAGAGCAAGAGAACCCUCUGGCUGGCAGGGCUGGCUUCAGGGUUUAGAAGACUAGCUUCCACCAGUAGCACAGUUUUCUUGGGUUUGGAGCAGGCCCUAGCCUUUCCCACAUCUUUCACUUGAGCCUGCAGCUGACACCCAAAGCAAGGUGUAUUUAGGACUGCCGGAUAAGAAAAGGGUUUGUCCUGGGCAGAGGGUCUAGGCUUCUCAUGAGCGAGCACCAGAAAGACUAAUGUGUAGGACGGUCAAAAGUGUUGAGGAAGCCCAGACCAAUAGGCAAGGCAAACUUGCUUUCAGUUCAGCCUGGGGCUGCUCACUCUGAGGAGGUUGUCAGGGCCUGACUCUCAAGUCCAGGAAAGAUGCUACUUGUGGCAGCCAAGAGAGGGCUUUCUGGGGACCCUGUAAUUAAAUACACAUCCCUGAGCUGUGGUCCCAGAAAUGCCUGCUUCAAGGCUGACCAGUUUCCAGCACCUGGUGGGUUGAUUGCCGUUUUUCAUCCUAAGAAACAGAUAAGACUCUACUUCACAGACACUGCAUGAGGAGAAGGGAGGAGGAUGGACGGCAGAGGGUGCGGGCAUUCCCACAGACCAAGGUGGGGGAGUCAGUUAGUGGGCUUUCUUUUCUUUCUUUUUUUUUUCUUUCUUUUUUCAAGUUUAAAAAAAGCAGUAAAGAAAAAGAACCAAGUUUAGUGGAACGGCUGGUCCAAAAGGAUGAAUUUCUUAAAACAACUGCAAUUAAAAAACAAACAAACAAAAAAACCCCAGUAUUCUAAAGCCAGAGAUGUGUGGGUGUUCUCCUACACUUCCACUGUUCUAAGAUCAGGACAGGGAGGUUCCUGCCUACUUCCCUCUACCCUAGAGGCCUGCCUCCUUCACUUGUAGGUUGGCCCUGGGCACUGGGUGUCCGAAGCCAGGUAGAGUGCUUUGAGAUGAGGUGUAGGGAAUUUCUCCAAACUAAGGGUGAGACUAGCAAACCUUGCAGAGGACACAGAUGGUCUAUAAAAGGAGCAGAGAACAGGAAUUACAAAGCUCCAAGACUCCACUUCAGUCUUGGGUCAAGAAAGUAAACAUAAGAAAAGGAAGGGGAAACCUGUAUGUUUCGGCAUAGUGCAAGGAGGUGGGUUCUCCUUUUCCACAUGGCUUUGGGGGCUUUAUUAUUUUUAUGGUAGAAAAAUUCUCAUUCAAAGUGAGUACUUUCAGUGGCCUGGGUCAGAGGGGUCAGGAGAGAGAGGAAUGAGAUAUAACAUGCACAAGUUUUUCCUUCUUCCACUAGCUAAAAGGCUGCCUGUUAACCAAACAUUAUAAGGAAAAAAGGCAAAAAACAAGCAUACCAAACCUCCUCCUCCAACCUUUCUCUGUGUCCUUCAAACCAAAAUCACAAAUACAUCUAGUGGCUGACCUAAUGUCUCCACGCUGCUAGCUACACUCCUACCUUCUCCUCAUAAUACCUGAGUUUGCAAUGCAUCACAUUUACUUUACCCUGUUUAAAAGAAGCCCAUGUCAUAAAAGGC
rnacentral:sRNA from 1 species